UUCUUCAGGGCAGGGUGCAAUUCCCUACCGGCGGUAUUCUGAAUUUCAGUAAGCCCGCGAGCCGUAAGGCAUGAUUCGGUGUGAUUCCGAAGCCGACAGUAUAGUCUGGAUGAGAGAAGAG
rnacentral:ncRNA from 1 species